rnacentral:rRNA from 1 species
UACGUAGGGACCGAGCGUUGUUCGGAAUUACUGGGCGUAAAGGGCGCGUAGGCGGCCUUGUAAGUCCUGUGUGAAAUCCCCCGGCUCAACUGGGGAACUGCACAGGAGACUGCUUGGCUUGAGUUCGGGAGAGGGAAGCGGAAUUCCGGGUGUAGCGGUGAAAUGCGUAGAUAUCCGGAGGAACACCGGUGGCGAAGGCGGCUUCCUGGACCGACACUGACGCUGAGGAGCGAAAGCGUGGGGAGCGAACAGG